rnacentral:misc_RNA from 1 species
AGAAUUCAUUAUUUUUAAAAUUAUAUUUAUACACUUUUUACUCUAUUUAAAGGAAAACUGGACUUGAAAGUUUUUUAAAAUAGUUAAUUCUGCACUUCACGAAUUUUACCUAAAUCAACUCUCUUUCCUGUCAUAAAUAAAUAAGAAAAUCAUUACAAAAAUACCCUUUUACUUAUUAAAGAAUUAAGUGAUAAUAACAUAAUAACAUCUUCUAAGUGAUAAUAACAUCUUCUAAUUUACAACUAUGACUUUUUUUGUAAUAGACUUUUCCAUUUUUCACUCUAAAAAAAUUUGGCUGCAAAUAAUGGAUGAACACAUUUAAUUUACGUGAUGACAAAAGUGCACAACAUGCAAACAGACUUGCUAAUAAACGCAAAAGAUAACAAAGCAUAAAUAGAUCUUUUUGCUUAUUCUUUCACACACAGGUAAUACUUCAAAUUCAAGAAACAUAUAACCCACUAAUUCUUAUGUUAUCCAUUACUCUCAACAAAAGUGUUAUGUUUCAAUAAUUUUAACUAGAUCAAAACUCACUACUCUAAACAAAUACUGAACUAAUUACGAAAAUGUUCUUUUAGAUUUAACUGGAUCUAGAAAUUAUGGCUGUUGUUCAUAUUUGUGUUUAAAUUUAUAUACAUUAUGUGCUUAAAGUGGUAGAUAAUAUUAAGCUACUGCACAUGAACCUUAUUAGCCUUGGAGACUGAAGUAAUUGUACUCUUCAAUAAUUAGAAAAAGUCUCCCCUAAUCUUUACAACAAAUAAAAAACAAGAAUUUUGUGAGUCAUCAUCAAUUUAAAUUUAGCUAAGUUAAAAACAUGUAAAACUUGAACAAGAAAUCAUUUUGCUGAUACUUAGUAAAUGGAAGAUUUUUUUCAUGUCUUGAAUUUUGAGAACUAAUGUAACUGUGUAUUUUAGUUUUGUCUCCCUCAUCUUGAACACUUAUGGCACUUAAGCUAUUGGGCUCAGUAAACACAGAAAAAGAAAUUGAAAACCGGAAGUACAUUGACAAUAUAGCAUUAGGGAAUUUUAGAGUUAAUAAAAUUUCUCAACGUGCAAAGACCAAGUCAUUUGAUUGUCAACUAUGUUCUUAUAAGUCACCUUACAGAUGGUACCUCAAAAGACACUUACUGACGCAUACUGGAGAACGUCCACAUGCUUGCCAUAUGUGUAAUCAAAGAUUUGCUCUGAAAGAAAAUCUUAAAAAGCACUAUUUGGUGCAUUUUAAGAUUAUGUGAAAAGUAUGAUGUUUGUUAUGUAUUGAGUGAAAAUAUGUAAAAUAAACAACCGAGUAAGCUGUAAUAUUUUUGAGAAAAAUACUGAGUUUGUCGCGGCUAUUACUUAAAGUUUCCUAUAUCAUCUUGGUCAAGGUAUAAAACUUUUUUUCAUGAUGGUUAGAGCAUCUAACUGUAAUUUUAAAGAACCUUGGUUUGUUCCCUGUCUGUGACCUGUAAACAUCUCUCAACCUUCGUUUAAAAACUUUUAUUGCUUUAAAAGUUUUCAACAAUUGUGUUUAGCCUUCAAAAUUUGUCAUAAUAAGAAAAAUAUAAUUACGUAUUAUCAUUUAUUUAAAUAAAAUAGGUUAAUUUAAAAAGUAUGUUAAAUGUGAUCGUGAACAAAAAUUUGUUCGGUUUUGAAGCAGUGUAACUAUUUUUCUGCAUCAUAUAAAGCAAUGUAAGAUUUUAAAUAUAAAGUAAGCACAUGCAUCUGAGCUCUUACUUUUAAUUUGAACAAAUAUGAACAAUAAAUAAAUUAAUUCAUUGUUUUCCGCUGGUGAUGAUACUUGUUUCUUUUAUUUGUAAUGGUGCUUAACAAGAUCACUGUUUCCCCAAAUAAAAUACAUAUGUGAAAAAUUGACAUCUAUGAACACACGCUAUCUUCUGUGAGAUUACUAAAACUGCAAAAAGCAUCAGAAGCUUACGAAGUGCAACAGGUGCUUACAAAGAUAGAUGAUAGUACUUAUUUAUCACAUAAAAAUAUAUGUUUUAUUUUUGCUUUUAAUGGGCAACAUAUAAUUUUCUAAGUUAAUCUUGUUAGUGAAUAGUUAAUCGUGAGUAAUCUAAGAAUCUUGUGAUAUGAAGCAAUUGUUUCAUUGAUAAUAAUUUCCGUUUUUUUUUUUUUUAGUUAUCUAAAAUUAUUUUAUUCAUCCUUUCUUGUUUCGAUUAAAUUAUAAUGUGUUUAAUCUAAAUUUACUUCUUAUUAAAAUUACUUUCUUUUUAGACUUAGUAAGCUUCAUUUAAAUGUUAUUUUACUAUAAAUACUAGGAUCACUAAUUAUAUCUAUGCAACUUAAUACAAAAGAAAUCUGAAAUGUCUUAAAGAGUUUAAUUUUUUUUAAAAGUCUUAAAAGAAGGCAAAGUUUGUAAAAUAGUCAAAGGAAAGUCAUGGAAUACUUAUGCUAGAAAAGGUGAAAAUCAUCAGAAUAAAAAAGCAAUUAGAGUAAGUAAAGAAUACCUGUCAAGAAGAAUAACAUAAUAAAAGAUGAUUUUAUAGAACCGUGAACAGAGGGCUAUUGAGUCGAUGAAGAAAUUGAACUACUUUUAAGUAGAAAAAAUAAUUAAUAAAGAAUUGAAAGAUUGCAGAUAACAACAUAUGUUUUAUUUUAUUUUUAAAUACACGAAUUUCAU